rnacentral:rRNA from 1 species
GACACGCUGGCGGCGUGCCUAACACAUGCAAGUCGAGCGGGGUUGAGGCGAGAGGUAACUCGAACUUCUACCUAGCGGCGGACGGGUGAGUAACGCGUGGGCAACCUGCCUCAAGGUUUGGGAUAACAGCCCGAAAGGGCUGCUAAUACCGGAUAUGCCUAUGGCCUCGCAUGGGGCUAUGAGCAAAGGGGAAACCCGCCUUGAGAUGGGCCGCGUCCCAUCAGCUAGUUGGUGAGGUAACAGCUCACCAAGGCGACGACGGGUAGCCGGCCUGAGAGGGUGACCGGCCACACUGGGACUGAGACACGGCCCAGACUCCUACGGGGGGCAGCAGUGGGGGAUCUUGCACAAUGGGCGAAAGCCUGAUGCAGCGACGCCGCGUGAGCGAAGAAGGCCUUCGGGUUGUAAAGCUCUGUCUGGAGGGACGAACAAAAUGACGGUACCUCCGGAGGAAGCCACGGCUAACUACGUG